AGCGAACGCUGGCGGCAGGCCUAACACAUGCAAGUCGAACGGAUCCUUCGGGAUUAGUGGCGGACGGGUGAGUAACACGUGGGAACGUGCCCUUUGGUUCGGAACAACUCAGGGAAACUUGAGCUAAUACCGGAUGUGCCCUUCGGGGGAAAGAUUUAUCGCCAUUGGAGCGGCCCGCGUCUGAUUAGCUAGUUGGUGAGGUAAGGGCUCACCAAGGCGACGAUCAGUAGCUGGUCUGAGAGGAUGAUCAGCCACAUUGGGACUGAGACACGGCCCAAACUCCUACGGGAGGCAGCAGUGGGGAAUCUUGCGCAAUGGGCGAAAGCCUGACGCAGCCAUGCCGCGUGAAUGAUGAAGGUCUUAGGAUUGUAAAAUUCUUUCACCGGGGACGAUAAUGACGGUACCCGGAGAAGAAGCCCCGGCUAACUUCGUGCCAGCAGCCGCUGUAACAC
rnacentral:rRNA from 1 species